rnacentral:rRNA from 1 species
UAGGGUCCGAGUUGUAAUUUGUAGAGGAUGCUUUUGGUGAGGUGCCGCCCGAGUUCCCUGGAACGGGACGCCGCAGAGGGUGAGAGCCCCGUCUGGCUGGCCACCGAGCCUCUGUAAAGCUCCUUCGACGAGUCGAGUAGUUUGGGAAUGCUGCUCAAAAUGGGAGGUAUAUGUCUUCUAAAGCUAAAUAUUGGCCAGAGACCGAUAGCGCACAAGUAGAGUGAUCGAAAGAUGAAAAGCACCUUGAAAAGAGGGUUAAACAGUACGUGAAAUUGUUGAAAGGGAAGCGCUUGUGACCAGACUUGGGCGCGGCGAAUCAUCCGGGGUUCUCUCCGGUGCACUUCGCCGUGUUCAGGCCAGCAUCAGUUCGGCGCGGGGGAAAAAGGCUUCGGGAACGUGGCUGCUCCGGCAGUGUUAUAGCCCGUUGCAUAAUACCCUGCGCUGGACUGAGGACCGCGCAUCUGCAAGGAUGCUGGCGUAAUGGUCACCAGCGACCCGUCUUGAAACACGGACCAAGGAGUCGUCUUCGUAUGCGAGUGUUCGGGUGUCAAACCCCUACGCGUAAUGAAAGUGAACGCAGGUGAGAGCUUCGGCGCAUCAUCGACCGAUCCUGAUGUUCUCGGAUGGAUUUGAGUAAGAGCAUACGGGGCCGGACCCGAAAGAAGGUGAACUAUGCCUGUAUAGGGUGAAGCCAGAGGAAACUCUGGUGGAGGCUCGCAGCGGUUCUGACGUGCAAAUCGAUCGUCAAAUAUGGGCA